rnacentral:rRNA from 1 species
ACACGUAUGAAAGUCAAGCUGAAAGACUUUACUCAAUGAUGUAAGUGGUGGUGCAUGGUCGUUCUUAGUUCGUGGAUUGAUUUGUCUGGUCUAUUCCGAUAACGAGCGAGACCCCAACGUUCCUAAUAGGGGGGGCAGCCCGGCCGGUCCCGCAAGGGGCUGGUCAGCGGCCCCCUAAGAUUUCUACUUCUUAGACGUAUCAGAGCCGAUAAGGUUCUUGAAAUGGGUUAAUAACAGGUCAGUCAUGCCCUUAGAUGUUCUGGGCCGCACGCGCGUUACAAUGGCAUGUAAAGAAGGUGCUUCUCCAAAGGCGUAUCCGGGGUCGAAAGGCCCUGGUAACCCUUAGUCCCUGCCUUGACUGGGACAGAUCUUUGCAAUUAUUGGUCUCUAACGAGGAAUUUUUAGUAAGCACAGGUCAUUAACCUGUGCUGA